CUGGNUCAGAUUGAACGCUGGCGGCAGGCAUAACACAUGCAAGUCGAGCGGCAGCACGGUACUUGUACCUGGUGGCGAGCGGCGGACGGGUGAGUAAUGCCUAGGAAUCUGCNUGGUAGUGGGGGAUAACGCUCGGAAACGGACGCUAAUACCGCAUACGUCNUACGGGAGAAAGCAGGGGACAUUCGGGCCUUGNGNUAUCAGAUGAGCNUAGGUCGGAUUAGCUAGUUGGUGAGGUAAUGGCUCACCAAGGCGACGAUCCGUAACUGGUCUGAGAGGAUGAUCAGUCACACUGGAANUGAGACACGGUCCAGACUCCUACGGGAGGCAGCAGUGGGGAAUAUUGGACAAUGGGCGAAAGCCUGAUCCAGCCAUGCCGCGUGUGUGAAGAAGGUCUUCGGAUUGUAAAGCACUUUAAGUUGGGAGGAAGGGCAGUUACCUAAUACGUAUCUGUUUUGACGUUACCGACAGAAUAAGCACCGGCUAACUCUGUGCCAGCAGCCGCGGUAAUACAGAGGGUGCAAGCGUUAAUCGGAAUUACUGGGCGUAAAGCGCGCGUAGGUGGUUCGUUAAGUUGGAUGUGAAAUCCCCGGGCUCAACCUGGGAACUGCAUUCAAAACUGACGAGCUAGAGUAUGGUAGAGGGUGGUGGAAUUUCCUGUGUAGCGGUGAAAUGCGUAGAUAUAGGAAGGAACACCAGUGGCGAAGGCGACCACCUGGACUGAUACUGACACNGAGGUGGGCAAGCGUGGGA
rnacentral:rRNA from 1 species